rnacentral:rRNA from 1 species
UACGUAGGGUGCGAGCGUUGUCCGGAAUUAUUGGGCGUAAAGAGCUUGUAGGCGGUUUGUCGCGUCUGCUGUGAAAAUCCGGGGCUCAACCCCGGACUUGCAGUGGGUACGGGCAGACUAGAGUGUGGUAGGGGAGACUGGAAUUCCUGGUGUAGCGGUGGAAUGCGCAGAGAUCAGGAGGAACACCGAUGGCGAAGGCAGCAUCCUGGCCGAGUACUGACGCUGAGGCGCGAAAGCGUGGGGAGCGAACGGG